AAGUCGUAACAAGGUUUCCGUAGGUGAACCUGCGGAAGGAUCAUUACUAGAGCAAAGGAUAGACAGCGCCCCACAGAAGCUUGCUUCGUGGCGGGCUACCCUACUUCGGUAGGGUUUAGAGUCGUCGGGCCUCUCGGAGAAGCUCGGUCCUGAACUCCACCCUUGAAUAAAUUACCUUUGUUGCUUUGGCAGGCCGCCUCGUGCCAGCGGCUUCGGCUGUUGAGUGCCCGCCAGAGGACCACAACUCUUGUUUUUAGUGAUGUCUGAGUACUAUAUAAUAGUUAAAACUUUCAACAACGGAUCUCUUGGUUCUGGCAUCGAUGAAGAACGCAGCGAAAUGCGAUAAGUAAUGUGAAUUGCAGAAUUCAGUGAAUCAUCGAAUCUUUGAACGCACAUUGCGCCCUCUGGUAUUCCGGGGGGCAUGCCUGUUCGAGCGUCAUUAUAACCACUCAAGCUCUCGCUUGGUAUUGGAGUUCGCGGUUUCGCGGCCCCUAAAAUCAGUGGCGGUGCCUGUCGGCUCUACGCGUAGUAAUACUCCUCGCGAUUGAGUCCGGUAGGUCUACUUGCCAGCAACCCCCAAUUUUUACAGGUUGACCUCGGAUCAGGUAGGGAUACCCGCUGAACUUA
rnacentral:rRNA from 1 species